AUGACGCCCGGAACUGAGGCGGCAGCGGACGCACUUUGGUGCGCCGCAAACGCACACCGCACGCAGCCUGGGCGAACUCGGACGGAACUCAACGCUAAGUCAUUUCAAAGGCUUGGGACGCGCAGCCGAAGGCAAUAUGGCAUCACCAACUCCCUGCCGAGGGCUCCCCGCUGUGAACAAGGACGGGGCCGCGCAGGUAAAGCCGGGAAGAGUUUUGUAUCUGAGAGGAGGAGCGGCAGCGAGGUGAAGCACGAGCGCCCCGACCCCGCGAGGGGCCGGCCGCGUCGCCGGGAUUGUUACUUAAGAAUGGAAGAGGAUGCAGAUUAUAUCCGAUUUAGUUCUGUGUAUUUCCUUAAUGAUCACAUUGGAUUUCACGGCACUAUAAAAAACUCACCAAAGGACUUUAUUGUUACUGAGAUUGAUGAACAGGGACAGUUAGUCAGUAAGCCCUUUGAUGAGCUUACUACUAAAAGCCACAUUGCUAAGCCACAUAAUUUUGCCAAAAAGCCAAAACUGGAUCUUAAAAAAAAUUCAUCUGUUGAUGAUGGAAGUGAAGAAGUUGAUACUUCGGCUAGGUGCUCUGAUGGUGACCCAGGUGACCAAUGUGAUUCAGACCAGGAAGACAGCCUCAGUGGUGACACUUCUGAGUGUAAAGGAGAAACAGCUGAUGCACUAAGCGCGUUUUUAGAUGACAAAACAAAUGAACUCUUGAGUCAGUUCGCCCUUGAAACCAAAGAGAAGUGGAACGCUGGCACUGAGCAAGUCGGACCACCUUCUGAAUUGUUCUUAGGCGUGAUUUCUGGCAAAAGGCGCAGGGCUGCUUUACAUAGUGCUAUUACACAGAAAUUUCCUUUUUUACUGACUACAACAAAAACCUGUAAAGUUGUUGUAAGACCAAAUCUUAGGUAUAAAGAACUCUGUGACUUGGUGUCUGAAGAAGAAGCAUCUGGGUUUUUUAAAUAUUUGGGUGCGAAGAAAGAAAAUUCCAGGUUUGCUUUUAAGCCUGAUACAAACAAAGAGCGCAGAAGAGCCGUCCACCAUUUUGUAAAUGAAAGGUUUGGGCGCUUGUUGGAAACCGAGUCUUCUGAAUUGGGUUGCUGUGACGGAGAUCAGAAAUUGGUGGUGACAGUAAGGUUGCGUGAAGAAGCCCACAGCCACAGGAAGAGGUCUCGGGAGAAAGUUGCACAUACAGCUUUUACCCUACGAAAGGAAAAUGUGGACAUGUUUGAAGCAAUUGAUCAUUUAGCUGCCAAACUUGGUGUGAUUCCUCCGGAUUUUAGUUACACAGGCCUUAAAGACAAGAAAGCCAUAACCUACCAAGCCAUGGUUGUUAGAAAAGUGACUCCUGAGAGGUUGAAAAGUAUUGAAAAAGAAAUUGCAAAGAAGGGAAUGAAUGUGUUUAAUGUCCGAUCUGUGAAUGCAGCUCUGAGACUUGGUCAACUAAAAGGAAAUCACUUUGACAUUGUCAUCAGGAAUGUAAGAAAUUGGAACGGUGAUCCUGUAAACCUGAGAGAGAGGAUUUUGGAGGCCAUAGAAAACGUGAAGAAUAAUGGCUUUGUGAAUUACUAUGGUCCUGAGCAGUUGGAGAAGGAAAGGAAUGUUCAUGCUGACCAGAUUGGAUUGGCUUUGCUGAAGGAGGAGAUGGUGAAGUCUGUAAAACUGUUUCUUACUCCAGAAGAUGUGGAUGAUCCUGUAAACAGAGCAAAGAAAUAUUUUCUUCAAACCGAGGAUGCCAAGGGCACACUUGAGCUGAUGCCUGAGUUCAGAGUUCGGGAGAGAGAGCUGUUGGAGUUGCUUCAUCGCUUCAGCCUGACAGAGGAAGGCUGUACCAAUGUGUGGUACUGUCUUCCCCACCACGUGCGCACGGUGUAUGUCCACGCUUACCUCAGCCAAGUCUGGAACGAGGCCGCGUCCUACAGGCUUGAGGCCUAUGGAACCCGUGUGGUGGAGGGCGACCUGGUGUGUCUGGACGACGUCCUUGACCAGGAGCAUUGCCCAAACAGUAAAGUUCAUCUGGUAACCAAGGAAGAGGAAUUGGCUAACACAUAUACAAUAUAUCAGGCCACAGCAGAGAGCUGGAUAGGAAGAGGAGCAGCCAGGACUAGAACCAGCACCCAUAUGGGAUGGCAGCGCCGCAGGUAGAAGAUUAACCUACUGCACCACAGCGCUGGCCCCGAGACUCUGUUUUAUACCUGUGAGGAAAAGAAGUUGGGGAGCCACAAGGCAUCGUGGGAAGAGGAAGCAAGUCUUACAUGAUGUCCUAUGCCAGACACUCAUCUAAAGCAAACAGCUUCAACGCGAUUGAAUAUAAGGUGGUGACCAAAGGCCUGUGCACACAGAAGAGAUCAUGACCUUAAUAUCAGAACAUAGAAAAGGAGGAAUAUGAUCAGAGUGUUUUUCUGAAGCAGAGCUAACGAUGAAACCUGCAACCAAGGAUGCCAAUUGCCUUCCUGCAUCUUUUCUUCCAUCCUUCAUGGCGAAAGUCUUGCUCUGGGGCUCCUAGCUGCCCAGCCAGAGGUUCCUUGUUGAGAUUUGGUGGAGAUUAUUGACUGAACAUUCGAGACAUAGAGAUGAAAGUCAACAGAAGUCACUAUUUCCACAAUAACAUUGGAGUCACCUGGACAAACUCCUAAAUGGACCAGGUAAGUAAACUAUUUCCGUCUGUAAAAGCAACAGUACCUCUUGUAGGGUGAUGUUUGAAUUCCUAAAUCAGGUUGUUGACCAGUGUCUCUAGCAUCAGAGGGUCAGUGAGAGCAGAUAAUUCCAAAGAGGCAGCACUGCUUGUGACAGCCUGAGAGACAUUGCAUGGAGAGGAGCCUGCAGGGCAGCUGAUACCCUUAGAAAAGGAGGGAGUUGGAGGGAAUUUCCCAAAAAACAAAUAUUUGAAUGUAUGAAUUGCUCUGUGGUUAAUAUAAUUUAGUAAACCUGUAUGAAUGAGCCAAAAGUACAAGUUUAUUUUGUCUUUCUCUAGAUCCAGCUAUCUCUUUAGAAUAUUUUCUUUAAUGACCGUAACAUGUGUUUUAUCCAAGAGACUUGGUAACAUCUGGUUUAAAUAGUUGUGCUCUAUAAUUUUCAAGUAAUUCAGAUCCUUUCCCUCACACUCAUCUCUUCUGUAACUGUGUAAGUUUAAUUCUGUGAUCAUUUCCGUCUUGUCUUUUCAAUAUGCUGUAAUAGCCCGUGAGGGCAGGGACCUGGCUGGCUGCUUGAUUGAUUGGUUGGGUGGAUGGGUGAGUGGCUAGUUUUCCUCAUUAUAUCCUCACCAUCCUACACCAUGCCUGUCAUACAGUGGGUACUCAGUAAUUCUUAGGAAUGAAUAAAUGAAUACAAGUUAAUAAGGUUGAUGGAGCUCUUUACUAAAGUCUGCAAGUGACUCUGUUCCUUCUACAUGGAAUUUUUCUGGAGGUAGAGAGAUGGAUGGAUUGAUUGAUUGAUUGAUUGAUUGAUAGAACAAGCAUUUAUUUACAAGGUAGACACUAUUCUGAGCAUUGUGAUGAAAGGAAUGGGCAUAGUUUCUGCUCUUAAAGAGCUCACAGUCCUGGGGUAGAUGCUCAGUAACUUGCCAACUGUGUAUUUCCAGCAUCUGAGGGAGAAGUGCAGUUCUGUACGUGUGCAGUGCUGCACCAGGGGUUCUUCUGGGCUGUUUGUUUCUAAGUAUGCUUGUCAUAUCUGUGUCUUAAAGAAAUAGAGACAUAAAAGUCAUGAUUUGUAUUUCAUCCUGUCUGCCAGGAGCUGGAGACUCAGAAACAAACCAGACAGAGACAGAGAUGGUCCCUGCUAGCAGGGAUGGCAAAGUAAACAGGCGAACAAGAGACAUUUAAUAGCACUGUAAGUACUGCACAUGAAAUCAGUGUAGGGGUGCAGCCAGGGAGGGAAGAGCCAAGAGAGACUCAGGGAGGGACUCCUUUGAGUUGGUGACACUGCACCGAGAAGGGAAGUAGGGGUUGGAACCAACGUGGUAAGUCUUCUGGGGAAGCGUCAGGGCCAGGCGUAGCUCAGGAAACAAGCUUGGCGGCAUCAGGGAAGGCCGGCAGUGGAUGUGACCUGGCCUUGGCUUCCAUGGGGUGAGACAAGAUCCAGGAAACCCACAGCUACAUUCAGCACCUGUGGGUUCUCGUCCGCAUUGCAACCAGGAGUUAAUGGUGAAUUCACACAGCUCACAGGAUGGCCACUCGCAGACGAGGGCUGUGUGGUGCUGAGCACAGAAGCAGCACAGUUGUGUAGCUGGAUUUCAGAGACAGGUCAAUGAGACCCUGGAUGCAAUUAGCUUGCCAUCCUCUGGGGAGUUCCCUUCCGCCAGCGCGUCACCUUGGCCAGCCCAGCACUGGUGUCCGUCAGGGUGGGGUGUGUGUACCGGGGUGAUGCCCAGGACACAGAGGGUUUGUGCCCUAGGAAAUGUUUGAGAAGCCCACCUGUCAGGAGGAAAAGGAUUGGGUUUGCGGGGGGAUUAAAAGCAAAACAAUUUCAGAUCUUUCGGGGUGUGGGGGGAAGAGUGAUUCUGGUCUUCAGUCUGUAAUGUGAAGAAGAAUGGGGAACAGUCCUGUGGCCUUAGGAUGACCCGAGUGCGGUCAUUACUCAGUGGGUGACCCUUUGCUGCCUAUAGGCCCCAGGGCUGAGCCCCAGGGAAGCAAGGGCAGGGCAGGGUCUCUGCACAGGUGUUGAAGACAGGGCCGACCUCUUUUCCUGUGUGUCCGGCCAGGGAUUAGGGGGAAUCGAGGGAAGCAUCCAGCUCAGAGGAAGAAGCUGAACCUAAUGCUGAAGUGGCUGGUGUGGGUGGGGUAGAAGUGAUUGGUUCAGCAGUGUGUGAGUUGUGUGAAUAGGUCAUAGGAGUGCUGGUCUGUCCGUAGAAUGAAAGUAUUUGUGGCACACACAGUUACACGACUGGCACCAGUUGGUGCUCCGACCCUCUGCUGUUAGGGUUUUUUUUUUUUUUUUUUUUGGUAUUUUUUAAAUUCAUAUGAAUUAGUAAAUACCCCUGUCCUUAUUUGGCAUGUGGUUUUUCUUGACUUUUGGUUUUGGGGCAGUGGAUUCCGCGUUCAUGGUUUUCGUCCCUGCUCAAGCAGCAGCUAACGGCUCUCACAGCUCAUGGUCUGUAUCUUGGGUGAAUUUGCAGGUGCAUUCGUCCUCCUGCACUGUUGCCUCCUGGUGUCAGGGUGCUUCACUUGAGAACCUUCCAGAAGGACCCUCUACUGCAGUGGUUUGGGUUUUCCCUCUUGACUCUGCUUCAUCGUGGGUAACCUUGGCCUUGAUUUGCUCCCCAGAAAACAAAGAAGAGCUCUGUUUCUUUGCCAGCCCUGUCACUAGAAAGGGGAGCAACUCAAAUGUAGCCCACCAGCUGCUCUCCAGGAAGACUGCAAAAAUGCAGAGAUAGGAGCAAGUGCGGCUCCUGACCGAGCAGAGUCGCCGUGUGCAUGGGGCAGGCUUCCAGUGGCCUGGCUUCACCUUUCCCUUGCAUGCUCAUCCCUUCCUUGGGUCCUGUGAGCUGCCAUAUUGUGCUUGCUUUGACUUAAGGUAGCCAGGUUUGGUUUCUGCUGCUUGUUACCAAAGAAUCCUAAAUGACACCUGAGCCAUGCCAGGUGCCUCCUUAGUUCCCAUGCCCAUAAAUAAGUCCUUGAGAGAAAUAACUCCUACCAGGAAAAUAUGUAACUUAGCCAGCAAAGGGUAUUAACCAUGGAUUCCGUGGUGGAAUGUGCUGUUCCUGCCAGGUAUUGUACACGUCUUCCUAAGGAAUGCUUUAGGGGAGGACGUAUUUUGGUCAUGAUACAUUGCGGUCUUACCCAGAAGUUGUCCAGAGACUGGCCCGAGCAAAGCUGCUCACUCUCAAAGGACAACACCUGUGGCUUUCAUAGCCUGCAGCUUUGUCAGGAACCCAAAGAGCAGAGCAGAUGCAGGGAGCAGGAAUUCAUCCCCAAUCUUUGCUCCCUGAAAGCAUCCGAAAGCUUCGACAACUGAGUUUUACAUGAAACACAGAUUUUGUACUCUUAUUUGUUAAUCAUUGUAUUUCUGGUUUUAGUUUCAACUUUGUGUUUUCAAAAUUCCCACAAAGUAUAGAUUAUAGAAUGCAGUUUUUGGCCGGCGUCCCGGCUCAAUAGGCUAAUCAUCCGCCUGUGGUGCCGGCACACUGGGUUCUAGUCCCUGUCGGGGCGCCGGAUUCUGUCCCAGUUGCCCCUCUUCCAGGUCAGCCCUCUGCUAUGGCCCGGGAGUGCAGUGGAGGAUGGCCCAAGUACUUGGGCCCUGCACCCCAUGGGAGACCAGGAGAAGUACCUGGCUCCUGCCAUCGGAUCAGCGCGGUGCACCGGCUGCGGCGGCCAUUGGAGGGUGAACCAACGGCAAAGGAAGACCUUUCUCUCUGUCUGUCUCUCUGUCCACUCUGCCUGUCAGAAAAAAAAAAAGAAUGCAGUUUUUAUGCUUUCAAAACCAUGUUACAGUGAAAUUUAACAAGGUUUUUUGUUAAUACCAUAAAAAUGUUACAAGUAUUAGUCAUAACUCCUUUCAAGACUAAUUGAAAUCAGCAUUUUUAAAACUGGAUAUAAUUUUUAACAGAUUUAUUUAUUUGAAAGGUUCAGUUAUAGAGAAACAGGGAGAGAAAGAGAAAUAAAGAGGAAGAGAGAGAGAGAAAAAGAUCUUCCAUCUGAUGGUUCACUCCCCACAUGGCUGCAAUGGUCAGGGCUGGGCCAGGCCAAAGCCAGGAGCCAGGAGCUUCAUCCAGUUCUCCCACAUGAGUGCGGGGCCCCAAGUACUUGAGUCAUCUUCCACUGCUCUCCCAGGCGCAUUACUAGAGAGCAGGAUUGAAGUAGAGCAGCCAGGACUUGAACUGGCGCCUGUAUGGGAUGCUAGUGACUCAGGCAGAGACCUUACCCACUACACCAUAACAAUGGCCCCAAUUCUUUUAAACCUUGAAUCUGAAAAUAGGCAUUAAAAUUAGAAAGUAAUAUUUUAAAAUAAGGUUCCUUUCUUGGUUUUUUUUGAAGAAUUAUUUUUAUUUACUUGAAAGGCAGAGUUACAGAAAGAGAGAGGGAGAGACAGAGAGAGAAAGGUGUUCCAUUCAUUGGUUUACUCCCCAAAUGGCUGUAACAGCUAGGGCUGGGCAUUCCAAAGCUUGGAGCCAAGAGCUCCUUUCAGGUGUCCCAUGUGGGUACAGGCCCUAAAGCACUUGGGCCAUCCUCUGCUGCUUUCCCAGGCACAUUAGCAGCGAGCUGGAUUGGAUGUGGAGCAGCUGGGUCUUGAACCCACACCCAUAUGGGAUGCUGGUGUUGCCGGCAGGCAACGAAUUUACCUGCUACACCACACCAUCCAUUCAAGUAAGGUUAUUUUCUAGUGGUAUUACUUUGUCUAAAUAAAAGAUAUUUUUGAAAGUUUGUAGUUGUGUUUAUUUUGGUUUAGAUUUUCUUUCUUUCUUUUUUUUUUUUUUUUUUGGUUUCUGGUUGGUGUACCCCAUAAUCAUUUAUUUUAAAACAUUUCUUAAAUAGUAAAUACAAUGCGAGCUCUUAAAAGUUCAUGGAAAAUGUGUAUCAUGAAAAAAAUCAUGCAUGAAUUUAAACACUUUUUUGCCUGAAGAUAAUUCCAUUUUCCGUAUACUGCUUUGAAGUGCCAUCGUAAAUUGCUGAGGUCUGUACUCUGUGCUGGAAUUGAAUCAUUGCUUGCAGCAAAAAGUACACGGGGUUCACGUUUGUGUUGCGUUUCAUUUUUAGCUCUCUCUUGAAAUGCAGCUAAGAGAUCUCAAUGUCUGCGCUUUACGUUGUUAGCCUCAUUACUUUGUGCUUCCUUCUGCUCUCAUUGCUCGUCUUUGUUCACUGCGUCCAACUGUGUGCAUAAUCACAGUCCAGUCUUCCGUCUUCCAGGAGGUCUUCCACAUUCACUUCCUUUAAACCUCCCUUCCCAAACGCCCAUCUCACCUGAGGUUCCUUUGUGAUAUGCUUUUGGUUGCCUUAUUAUUCAGCAUUCUACAUAACUUGUACUCAAUUGGAUUCUGUAUUUGCUGAAAUUAUGCAUUGAGACGUAUAGCCAAGAAUUUUUUUAACUAAAAAAAAAAAAAAAUGGAAUAGUGAUGUAAAGAAAAUUGGACAUAUCUGUUGGGUACUAUUUGAUGCUUCAACACAUGUAUACGUUGGAUGGUGUCCAGUGAGGGUAAAUAUAGCUGUCCAUCCAAACAUUUAACAUUUCCUUAUGGUGAGAACACCCAGAAUUGUACAUCCUAGUUCUGUUUGUUUGUACUGAGAGUGACUGCAGAUAAGCUCUAAGUGCUUUAGAAUCCUGGCCUCUUGCUGGCUUGCACUGGGCAAAUGUUUGUCGGUCCCCAUUGUCCUCUGAGCGCACGACUCAACUUUUCUAGGUGGUUUCCUCUUCUGGUAAAAGCAAGUAUCUGUCUGUAUUUUUCAGUAAUACCAAGUAUCGUUUAUGCAGGUAGUUAGCACAGUUCACUGGAUAUAGUCCUGAUAAUGAUACAGUUAAACUUAUGCUAUUCUCCCCCUUUGCCCAAAGGAAGUAAGAACUUGUAGUAGACGAUGUUGUAGGAGAUGGAGCCAAGACUCAGACAGAAGACCACUCUCUCAGAGUGCUCUGCAUCCUGCAGAAACUGAAUGAGGGGACCAAGGAGUUGUCCCUUGCCUGAGAUCUUUUCCUACUCAGGUUUCGUGGUGUGGUUCCCCGUUCAUGUCUUUGAGUUCCUCCCCUGGUCAUUUCUCUGCAGGUUCCUCUUUGCUCACCUCAAGAAUAUUAGAGUGGAGAGAGUGGUUACAGAUCAGCUUCCCUUUGCGGUGUGCAGCUGGGCUCUGACCUGAAGCCCCUGCUGGGCUUGCAGAGUCCCUCUGUGUGCGUCCAGGUUGUGUUCAGCCGCUGCUCUCCGCCUCGCCUCCCUGCCACUGCGUAGCUGGGUCGCUCUUGUCCUGUUCACUGCUCCUUUGCCUAUUUCCCUUCUUCCCCUCAAGCUUUACAUCUGCCUUCCUCACCAAACAUGUUUCUUGUUGGUCGAAUGUGUUUUUAAUUUGAGUCUUCAAAUCAUCUCCCAUUGCCUGGAGUACUGACAGCUCGUCUGAAACCCCAUUUGUAAUUGUAUCCUGUUACAUUAGAUUUCAUCUGCUUUUUUUUUUUUUUCCUCUCAGGAAUCUUGUUCUCCUGAUUUUCUUAUGAUAUGAUCUCUCUAUCUGCUGCUUUGUUCAGACUUCACCAUUUUUCUGUGCUGACAACAGCAGAACAAGUUGAAGUUGAUCUGAUAGUAAUCACAUAUGUAUCAUUAGAGUCCAUUCUAUAGUUAUAUAAUGGGAUAUAAACUCUCUGCUUCUUUCUAUCAAUCUUAAUAAACUAAGAUUUUUCAUAUAUAUUUAAAGAUUUAUUUUAUUUGAAAGACAGACUUACAGGGAGGGAGAGAAAGAGAGAUCUAUCUUCAACUGCUGGUUCACUCCCCAGAUGGCUACAACACCCAAGUUUUGGUCAGGCCGAAGCCAGGAGCUGGGAACUCCAUCCUGGUCUCCCACAUGGGUGACAGGGUCCCAAGCACCUAGGCCUUUCUCUGCUGCCUCCCCAGGUACAUUAGCAGGGAGCUGGGUUGGGAGUGGAGCAGCUAGGACUCAAACCAGUGUUCUGAGUACAAGUGGCAGCGUAACCCACUGUACCACAAUACUGACCCCAAAUUUUAUGUUUUUAAAUAAUUAUAGAAUUUCAGGAGUCUGUAAAAUUUGGAUAAGAAAGGGGUCAUUGUUACUGCACAGUGGGUUAAGCUGCUGCCUGCAACACCGGCAUCCCGUGUCAGAGUGCCCGUUCAGCCUUGGCUGUACCACUUCAGAUCCAGCUCCCUACUAAGCAGAAGAAGAUGGCCCAAUUACUUGGAUCCCUGAUAGCCAUAUGGGAGUCUCAGGUGGAGUGCCAGGUUCUUGGCCUCAGCCUGGCCUAGCCCUGGCCGUUGCAGCAGUUUGGGGAGUAAACCAGCAGUUGGAAGAUCGCUUUCACUCUAUGCUUUUCUAAUAAAUAAAACAAACCUUUAAAAACAUUUGGAUAGUGCUCGUUUUGGCAGCACCUAUACUAAUAAAACUGGAGUGCUACGGAGAUUGGCAUGGCCUCUGCACAAGGAUGAAAUGCAAAUUCCUGAUAAAUCAGUAUAUAUGAGUUACUUGAAAUUUGUUUACCUUAAAUUAAAAAAUUAAAAAUAAAAACAUUUGGAUAAGAUAGAAAUUUCUAUGAAAACUCUGGGAGAUAAGUAAGCAGAUUUUGGUGAAAGUGAGUGACUCAGUGUGUUAAAAGACUUGAGCAUCUCUGUGUCAGUUUUGGGGGCUCAGCCCCUGUGUCCUGCCUGUCCCUGUGUUCUGACCACUUUUCUUCUGUUAGGACUCCACGUGACAACCUGUUGGUUAAGGAGUUUUCACUCAGACCUAGAGUCUACAGAGCAAAACUCCAUACUCUCACAUUUGAAACAAAAUGUCUUAUUUAUAGUUUACAGAAAUAAUUUAGGUUAUUCCUUAUCCUUUUGAAGACACAGACUAGUCAGCAGUACUUAGUUCUGUCCACUAGGAACAUGGUCUCAGAGUCUCCAGGAAACUGACCCACCUCCUGAUUUUAAAGGAUCCUAAUUGGACAACUUCAUCAUUAGUUUGGUGCUGGAUGAAACUCUUACCAUGCCCAUAAAUUAGCUCAAGGAAGUCUAACAUACCUACAGUUUGAAUCCCUUUAUCAAGAACUGCCCUGUUCUCCAUUGUGUCACUCCUUCCCAGCCGAGGCUAUGUGAAAUCUCACUCUAGUCUCUUCCAUCCCUGGGCUAAAUGCAUAGAGAGGCCCAGGUUGACUUAAUAUUUUUUUUAAGAUUUAUAUAUCUAUUUGAAAGUCAGAGUUAUACACAGAGAGAAGGAGAAGCAGAGAGAGAGGGAGAGGGGGGAGAGAGAGAGAGAGAGAGAGGUAUUCCAUCCGUUGGUUCACUCCCUAGUUGGCCGCAACAGCUGGAGCUGUGCCGAUCUGAAGCCAGGAGCCAGGAGCUUCUUCUGGGUCUUCCACACGGGUGUAGGGGCCCAAGGAGUUGGGCCAUCUUCUACUGCUCUCCCAGGCCAUAGCAGAGAGCUGGAUCGGAAGAGGAGUAGCCGGGAUUCGAACCGGUGCCGAUAUGGGAUGCUGGCACUGCAGGCAGCGACUUUACCCACUACGCCACAGUGCCAGCCCCGGACUCAAUCUUCAAUCCCAACAGUAGCUCCGUUUCUGCUGCUCGGUUUUCUACUGGGGAAUGAGCUCUUUGGCUUGAGUUUCUGACCUCGUGCAGCCAGAGCCCGACCACCCAGUGCUCCCCAUCACUUCUCCUCCUUCCAGACGGUUAACCCCCAAGUGCCAGCCAGGUCCAGCCAAUCCUGAUUUCUCAGCUUGAAUUUCUGCCUACAAAGGCCAUCUUUAGUCAUGGCCUUAGCAUAGGCUCUCUCAGAACCAGAGUGUUUGAUCUGCUCCUGUAGCCUCCAUCUUUUCUGUUUUAAUCAAAGUUGUGUGAAACACCCUUGUCGUUGUAUAAUGUAAGCGUUACGUGUCAGAGAAGGAGUAUUGUGUUCUCAGGGCACGGCCCUGUAAUCUAAUCAGAUGCAGCACUGAGUAGUGAACCGAGAGUCAUGACUGCACACAUGCCAGCACCCUUGUGAAAUCCACCCUUUGCAUUCAGCAAUCUGAAUAGUUGUGAUAGCCUCAGCACACCCGUACUUCAGGUUUUCAGCAGAUUUUGACGAAGCUGGCUCACUUUAGUUAUGAGUUAUAAAGGGCAAGCUGCAGUAAUUUCUGGUAUGAUAGUGGAGCAGUUAUUUCUCUGUAGAUAUAAAAGUGAGAUAUUCUGACAGAAUUGUCUUGUGUGCUGAUUUGUGUGAAUAAGUCAGCAGAGGAAAUAAUGUGAGAUCUAAUAAAUGUUCACUCAAUGAAUGAAUGCGUUGACUAACCAUUCUAUUUAUUUUUCAGAGCGUGUUUUUGAACCUGAUUAUUUUAUUGAUUCGUAUAUGUAUGGUUUGUCUCCUUGAAGGUUAUGAUAGAGCUAAAUCAUUGGGCCAGUUGAUAACUAAGUGAUUUGGAUGACAGAUAUGGAGUUUACAUGCCCAUGUGUCACAUCCAAGGGAAUUUUUCCAUUGAUUAUGUUUGCUACUUUUUCUAUACCUACCAGAAGUAACUAAAGAUAUGUAUUAUUUGAUAUCAGACAUAAAUAUCCACUCCUUGCAGUUGUAAGCUUGUAGGUAGUGUGCACGAGGUCUCCUGCAUUGGAACGUGGAGCAGGACAUCUGCCUGGACAGUGUUAGCAUGGGUGCUCACGGUCAGAGUAACAUGUAGCAGUGUAGCAUUACUUGUGCCCAGGCAUGGACAGCUUAAGAGGGAGAUCCAUUCACUUACAUGGAUGGACGUGGAAGGGGAGCCAUUCUGCAACCAGAUUCCUCCAGCUGCUUUUUUUUUUUUUUUUAAGAAUUUAUUUACUUGGAAGGCAGACAGAGAUACAGAGAGAGAAGGAGAGUGGGAGAGAGGGAGAGAGAGAGAAAUAUCUUCCAUUCACUGGUUCACUUCCCAAAUGGCUGAAAUGGCUGGGGCUGGGCCAGGUUGCAGCCAGGAACCAGGAGCUUCUUCCAGGCUGCCCACGUGGGUGCUGGGGCCCAAGUACUUGGACCAUCUUCUGCAGCUUUGUGAGACACAUUAGCAGAGAGCUGGGUCAGAAGUGGAGCAGCCAGGACUUGAAGUGAUCCCCAUAUGGAAUGCUGGUGCUGCAGGAGGACCCUUAACCUUCUGUACCACUAAGGCCUACUGCUGCUUGUCUUGCAGUGUGUAGGUUUUCCAUUCCUGACACUUGCUCCAUCCACAUUCCGCCAGACAGGAGAGGAAAACAGACCAACUAAAGGGCAGAAAGUGUGGCCCACCUGUGUUUAAAGAGAGGCUUUGUUUGCGUGUUCUUGCAGAGCUGUCACAUGCUACGUGGAACUGCGUUGGAGGCGGGGAAGUCACUCCUGCUGCGGCAGUCCAGGAGGCCGUGAGUGUGACUGUGAGUCAGGGAGUUCUGUACUCACUGGAGAGGGAAGGGCUGCUGGUGACAGUGAGCACUCUGCCCCCACAGUUUGUUGAGAUUUGCAGUUUGUUUGAAAUUUAACAUAUUGUCCAUUUUUUGCUUCUAACACAGCUGCAUGUGGGGCCUGUGGGUGCUCUCUGACUGUUGUCUGUGCACAGCCUACCUCAUCUACCACAUGUGUCCCUGGUAAGCAUGCAACUGUUAUUGAAGUCAGUUGAAUUCACAUAGCUGUUGUAUAUUUCAGUUUUAACUAAGGUAUACAGUAAUUUUAUGUUCAGAUAAUCAUUGGGGUGUUUCACUUCAAUUUGUUUUGUAUUUACUGUGUUUUGUUUACGAUUUGUUGUUGGAUAUUUAUUUUACUUUUUAUAUCCUUCUUUCUUUAGGAUUAAUCAGGUAGUUUUUAUUUUUUCACUGGCUUUUUUUUUUUUAACCUUACUUUAUACUUGGUGAUUUUGCACUUUCACAGAGUCACUUUUUCUUGUUCUUGUAAAUUUUUUUUAUUUAUUUGACAGAUAGAUUUAGACAGUGAGAGGUAGAGACAGAGAGAAAGGUCUUCCCUCCAUUGGUUCACUCCCUAAAUGGCCGCAAUGGCUGGAGCUAUGCUGAUCCGAAGCCAGGAGCCAGGUGCUUCCUCCUGGUCUCCCAUGUGGGUGCAGGGUCCAAGCACUUGGGCCAUCCUUCACUGCCCUCCCGGGCCACAGCAGAGAGCUGGACUGGAAGAGGAGCAACUGGGAUUAGAACCUGGCACCAUAUGGGAUGCCAGUGCCGCAGGUGGAGGAUUAAACAAGUGAGCCAUGGCGCCGGCCCCUCUUGUUUUUGUAUUUUUAAUAGAUAUUGCAAAAGAUACAUUUAGCAGAUGUUAUAAAAUACGGCUGUCUAACUUGCUCAUUCACUGAGACAUAAUCUUAGUAACUGGAGUGUUUUCUAGUAUCUUGAAGUGAGCCAGUGAAGGCUGUUAUUGGAUGGGUUUCCAAAAGUCAUUUCCAAACAGGCAGGGGGUCAUAACAGAGGGAAAGCAGCAGUGUUAACCUUUGACCCCUCGUGCAGGUAGGAGGCAGUGAUGGCUGCGGGUGAAUCAUUAAGAUCCUGGGUCCACUUGUAGGAACGUCUUCGCAGAUCAGUAGGGUGAAAGGGAAGAGAAGAGGAGGUGAAGGAGCCUGUCUGUCGUUUCAGGAAAAUAACUACAGACUGAUGUGCAUGCAGCACCGUCGGUGUGCACGGGGCGCCUGCUGCCCUGAACAUGCAGGACUGGCAGACACCUAACUAGCACAUGUCUUGGUUCUUACGUUCUCCGCUGGGUUAGUUGAAGGCACCACAAAGACAGAAAGUGUCCUUGUGCGCUGGCACUCUCCCCUCUCGGAAUUGAGGCAAUCACCGCAUGCUAGCAUUUCCGUGGAUCCUGUCCACUUCUGGGCCGCAGAGGCCAGCUGUGCGGUGGUGGCCACUUCACGGCUGCUACAUGCGUGAGCCCCUGGCACUUCCCGGUUGUGUUGAUGGCGCCCUGAUUUGACUGAGGCAAUCUGAACUUGGGUUACAACUAAAGCCUGUUCCACAGACUUUAAAGUCGGCUUUCCUGUCCUCACCUGUGGCUCGGGAUUCGUAAAACGUUCGCCCGUGCUUGAUUGUGUGAGGGGAAGUCACUCCGUAGUGAUGCAGUUUUCUGUGCACCCGGAAGGAAGCGUUCCUUCUACAGGUGGUGCGGGAAAGCCAUGAUAACAGGAGACAGAAUUUUCCCUCCUGUCGCUCCCCGUCUUCGUGGAGGAACGACACAGGACUCUGCGUUGUUCUUUCGUCUGCUCGGCCCUCCCCAGGUUUGCUGCUGGUUCUUCCUGGGUUGGCUGCUGGUCCUUCCCGGGUUGGCUACCGUCCCUUCCACCUCCGUGGAAGGGCGGUUCCCCCUGCCACCUUCCCCACUUCCGCGGGGGAGCGGCACACCGCCGGCCGGCUCUCUCGGGGGCUGCACAGGUGUUCCUCUUAGAUGUUCCCCUUAGAUGUUCCUGGUGCAUGUUGUCUCUCCUCCUUUAUAGUCCUUCCACCAAUCCCAACUCUGCUACCCACACGCUCUCCUCCAAUCAGGAGCAGGUCCUACAGUUUAUUGGUUGAACUGGAGGCAGCUGCGUAGAAGCUGUUUCCCUUCUCAGCGCCAUAUUGUGGGAGAGCAGAUGCAUAGAAUAAGUCUUAAUUCCAGUAACUUAGUCUAGUCCGGGUUGCUCCCCACACCCUCCUCCGUUUUUCUUUUGUCCCAACUUCAAACGAGGCUGAACAACAUCAACUGGCUCAAGUCCUCCUGAGGUCUGAGACGUAUUAAGGAUGAUAAAGGAGUCCGGAUAGCAACAACAAGGCACUGGACGUUACCUAAACUUUGGAAAACCCCUUCUAAACACCAACUAAAUUUCAAAGACGCUGUUCCUUUCAAAGAAACUCUGGGCGGUGCGUGAGGAGGACGCUGCACCCUCUAGGGUACAAGGACCAGCCUGUUACUUCCGGAAGUUGUGUCUGAGCUGCCUAAUCAUCAGUUUUCCCUGUAACUCCAUGUAAACAUGAAUCCACAAUAACCCUAUAACUCAAUAACCCUGUAACUCUAUGUAAACACAAAUCCACCCAUAAUCAUGGGGUAUAUAAUUAGAAGUUUAAUUGUAACAAAUAAUUGGAUAUAAUUAGGGAAGCUAAGCAAAUUUUUUCCUUUUCUUGGGAUAUUGGACAUAAUUGCUGUAUAGUAUAAAGUCAAAAUUAAAAUAUAUGCUCUGAGAAUUCAACUUAGAUACUAUUGUGCUCAUGUCUUUACUUAGAAAUGUUGUUUUCAGCAUGGCACCAGAUAGCUCCCCUAUGUCUACUUGGCCUGACUGAAAACGUUGAUGGAUAAAUGGAAAAAUGUUAAUUCAUAGUGUUUUUUUAUUUUUUUAAAUUUUUUUUGAUAGGCAGAGUGGACAGUGAGAGAGAGACACACACAGAGAAAGGUCUUCCUUUUCUAUUGGUUCACCCUCCAAUGGCCGCCGCGGCUGGCGUGCUGCGGCUGGUGCACCGUGAUGAUCCGAAGCCAGGAGCCAGGUGCUUCUCUUGGUCUCCCAUGCGGGUGCAGGGCCCAAGCACUUGGGCCAUCCUCCACUGCCUUCCCAGGCCACAGCAGAGAGCUGGCCUGGAAUAGAGGCAACCGGGACAGAAUCCGGCACCCCGACCGGGACUAGAACCUGGGGUGCUGGCGCCGCUAGGCGGAGGAUUAGCCUAGUGAGCUGCGGUGUCAGCCGAAUUCAUAGUGUUUUACUCCUUUGAUAACUCCAGCAAAAUGUUAUUAGAAAAUGUCACUCCACUAUGUUUUCAGGGCUUCCUAACUGAGCAACUAGAGAAAUGUUGAGUGGAACUGCUUUCCAUUUACUUGAGAACACAUCGUUGUUGCGGCACGUGUGCUCAGUUGUCCACCCGGCAGACGCAUGUGGAGGCCGAACUCCGUGCUCUGUGCCUGGGACAGGAGGAGAGCGGGCAAUGUUCUUCAGUGGAGAACUUUGGAGAGUGGAGGCUGUGUGCGUUGCUGACUCCUCUCCUGUAUAAAGGCGUGCCUCUUCCAUGGAGCCGGACCCUGGGAAAAUAUGCACGAAAGAGCCAUUGCUGUACACGUAGCCAUCUCCACGGCCUUGUGUGUGCCUGGGUCCCGCGAGGCUGAGUCUCUCCGUGCCAUGCCUGCCCUCUCUUCUGAGCCAGCAUCGGAUGUUCUUCUUUUUCUACCAGCAAAUAACCCCCGACUUACAUAUCUCUGUGUUAUCUUUGGGAAAAAACACACAGAUAGUAUCUUAGCAACAACAAUUAUAGAAAUCACACAGAAUGUUAUUAAAAUCAUCAGUUUUUUCCAUUUUCCACAGUUGCUCUUGAGAUUGUUUAAACCUAAGGCAAAUAUAUUCUUCACACCCUAAAACCAACUUCUAAAAUUGUUCUGUUUACUUAAAUUCUAACAUAUUUCUGUAAAUAACGUUUUCUUGGGAAUUUAAACAGAAGAACCUGUGAAAGCUGGAGAAUGGUGUAACAUGACGUGGCCUCAUGUCCUUGCUCCCCCAGCAGCUGAAUGGGGAGGAGGAGGAGGGACUGGGCAGAGGGAGUGUGGCCGUGAUGUGGUCACAGAGCAGUGCCCAGCCCAGCCUCAGGGGCUCUGCAGUACCCUGAGUUACAGUGUGGAGGCUGGGCUUAGCACCCCCUGAAGGCACAUCACUCGAACUGGGCUGGCCUUGGAAGGAGACGGCCCUGGGGGAGUCAGUUUUCCCAGACCCCGCCAUUCCAUCCGCAGAUGGCUGCUGGAGGACGCUGUGUUCAGGACACCUCCCAGUGGCUGGGGGAUCAGUCUUUCCACUGAAGAUGGACUGACAUGUCCGCCUGAGGCCGUGAUCAUGUGUUGCCUGUGUCCCCCUGCCCACCCCAGGUGUCUCCUGUGAGUGAAGCGACUCUGCACAAGCGGCCUCUGACUCUGCACAUUUUCCUGGUAAUAAGAGAUUGGAGGCAGCUUUUCUCUAACAACACUGAUCUGUCAUCAGAGCUGGACUGACACCACGAACUAAAGGAAAAAUACCGACUCCUACAGCUGAUCACCAAAAAUCCCAUACUUCCACAGAUUGCAGUGAACUGACCGCAUCUACUGGAGUUAGAGACGGACUUGCUCCCGGUUCCCAGCGGCUGGAACGCUCCCUGGUGCACAGCAGGCUCUCAGCGAUUCUUCAGUGAUUUCUGGGCACUCGAGAGAAUUCAUGAGCAAUAGAAGUCAAUGACUUACUAUUUGUAUUAAUUUGCUAAAUGAGAAAGGCAUGGUAAGUAUUAAGAUUCUUCCCAUAUGUCUUAAGUAUCCUCGUUUAUGAAAACAAGAAAAAAACCUUUGAGGAAUAAGAAACACCAGGGGAAAAUUAGCAUUGUUCCAUUGUUCACCGUUCAAGUAUAAUAAACACAUGCUGGGAUUUAGCUUAAAAUGGGGUGGGAAAUUAGACUGUACACUACCAUCUAACGAAAACAAAACACCUGGACAUUUGUGAUGACUCACUGCCCUCCAAAGGUUUAGUGUCUUUUUUACAGAUAGUGAGAGAGGAGGUCACAGGAGGCUGAGUUUAGCAGGCUCCACACCCAGUAGACUCUCCAAGCGUACCUGCUGGUGGGUCCUAAGUGGCCUGGGAGUGCGUUUACAGAGCGUCUGUUUGCGUUGUAUCCUUCCCUCCACACCCUACCGCCCCUGUAGCUGAACUUCCCCUUUGAAACACGUACACCAACGCGGACAUCCAGUUAUCUUUACUGGUGCGUAACAAAUGAUGUAGAUGUGUGUGUGUGUGUGUGUGUGCGCGUGCGCGCGUGUGAAGUCCAUGUUACGAUACUGGAUAGUAAUAGCGUCUGCCCUGGGCACUGCUGUGGUCUGAGUGUGUGUCCCUCAUCAGCAAUAGCGUCUGUCCCGGGCACUGCUGUGGUCUGAGUGUGUGUCCCUCAGAUUCCUGUGCUGUGAUCCCAGCUCCCAGGUGGGACGAUAGUAGGUCCUGAGGGUAGAGCCUUCAGGAAAGGAAUCAGUGGCUCCGAAAUCAGGCCCCAGAGAGCUGCUUGCUGCUUCCACCCACUGAGGCGUCCGCUGUGAACUGGAGAUGAAGCUCUCAGCAGAGCUGCCAGCUUCCAGAACAGGAGCAACAGCCCGCCGUGGUGCUACGCCACCCUGUCUCCGGCACCGGGGGAUAGCGGCCCACAGAGACGAAACAGCCGACACGCGCUGGCCGUGUGCAGCGAAAGCACUGUUCGCGAUCUCGUCUGUUGCUUGUAAGUCCCUGAAGCAGCGUGUGGUUUCCUUUUCUCAGACAGAGGCUCAGGGAGCAGGAACCAUCUCCGAGCAGCUGCCUCCAACAGGCGAUGAAUGCCUGGUGAACCUUUCAACAUUUUUGUUAAUACAGUAGAAUCCUUUGAAAACUGCUCCUUGUUCCCUGGAGAGGUGGAGCUGUUGAAUUCCCCACAGAGCGAGCCGACCUUGCUUUGGUGGUGGAGGGUGCCUUAGACACCAACAAGAUGAUCAACCUGCAGAACCAGGAAGCAACCGUGGACUGGAAGGUCGGUAUCUCAGAGCAGCUGUCGAAGCUUCCGACAGAAGCAUUUAGAGUGCUCUGGGGAGGGCCGUGUCUUGCCGGAGACUGCCAGGUCUCUCCUCCUGCACCGGGUCUGUGUUGGUGCUGCCAGAAGCCUACGUGCUUCGCCUGUUUGCGUGAGGGAGAGAGAACUGUGCACAUGGAUGGCUCAGGUGGUCGUGAGACCCGACCAGAGCAGAAGGGAAGUGCACAUCGGAUCCUCCAUCUUCCUCUAAGAAACACUGACAAGGAAAAUGGGCCACCCUUGGCUUACUGACUUAGCUUCCUUCUGGCUUCCCAACACAAAGGGUGUUGCUUCAGCGCAAUUACCAGGGCCUUGGGAAAUGUCCCGAGCUGCCCCUUGCGUCUCCUUGUCUGGCUCUUGGCCGCUGCAGGAGGGGCCUCUCCCUGGGGGAAUGUUGUUCCCACUGCCCUGUCCGUGUGGGCAAAUGCUGGAGGGGAGGAGGCAGAGUUGGAAGCUGGGGUGUGGAGCUCGGACUUGGAAAUCCGACUCUUCUCUGCUGCUGUGGGUGGUGUAGGGUCAGUGUGUGCCACUCGGACGUCACACGCUUCCCACUGGCAAGUAGAAGUGAACAGAGGUGCUCAGGCCUCGGCCACUGGGUGCUGUGUGACUACUCAGGGUGCUGUGCCUGCCUGGGGCACAGCCAGGAGAACACAUCUUUCUGCCAUCUGGACACGUGCUUGGGGGGUGAGUGAGGUGAGGGACAGAGCGCCUGAAGCAGGUGUGGUCCUGAGACAGCUCGGCCAGCACCGCUUAGCAUGGUGGGUCUACGCCGUGUCCACUCGGCUUCUCUGAAGCGACGCUCCUGUGUGUUUCCUGGUGGCACUGACCACAGGAGACGCGCGGGUGUGAGAUGUGGAGGCAGGAGCGAAGCAGCGGCACUGGAUCUCGCUGCGGAUCUGCAGCCCAGGUUUCUGGGAUGGGACUGGGGCUGGCGUCUGGCUCCUGCAGCCCCUCUCCUCCUGGCUUCCUCCAGCUUCGUGGCGUCCUGGCCAGGCAGGAAUGCGGCUUCCCUGAGAAGUGAGUGACAGCCUUCUGCAAGGCACCUGCGUCUCAGGGCGGGGAACUGCCAGUGCUGCUGGUGUCUGGUUUGACCUGUCGCAGCUCAUGUUCUGUCCACACCGUCAGCCCUGGGGACCUAGGGUAACUUCAGGCCCCCCACAAGAGGCAGGGGCAGUGGCCUUCCAUGAACUUCGUCGGUAAUGAAUCCCUUACUCCAUGGGAGUUAGUGUGUUUCUACUUCCCCAGUCCCAUCCUAACCUGUAUGUUCAGGAGAACCUGAAGACUGGAGAGACAUAUCUGGGUUAUUUAUAUAUUUGGUAAAAUGUUCGAGAAUACUGUGACUAUUAUGGAAUUAGAAAGAAUGCUUAAAGCAUUGGUGAAUCUUGUUCUAGUCACACUUCCCUUUGAAGUGUAGCUAUUCAUCACCUUAAGCACGAGUGUGCGUCACCUGGGUCAAUAGCAUCCAAUGACAAGCCAGGAGCACUUUGUGAGAUGCAAAUUCAAGUAGCAUUAUAUCAGAUUCAGGUUCAGAGAUGGUUUAUAUGAUGAUUGUUAUUCACUCCACAAAAGGACGUUAGUUCAAAUGCACAAGUGCUUACCAUUCUAGUCUAGUCAGUGUUUUGGCACACUCUCUGUGCAUGGUGCUAGAUGCUAGGGACAUAUGUAGAGAACAAAGACUGAGCUCCUUAGGGUUCUCCACCUGGAGGAAUCUGACCCCUGCUGACCCUGUCAGCUGCUCCGUCUGGCCAUUUGUCGCCACGGCUAACAGCUGGAGGUGCGACUCAGGAGGGAACGGCUGUUGAUUGUCCAGGGCUCUCCUCUGGCCCUCGUCACUCAGGAUUCCCGUCCUUGGAUUCACACUCUCCAUUCCAACCUGUUCUGCUCCUCCCUGAUUUUCAGCUUACUGCAUCUCUAUUUCUCACUGGGCUUUGCUUCCUCCUUGCCUCUGGCACCUUCUGCUGUCUUUUCCAGUUCUAGCCUGAGGAACCCAGGGAUAGGUUAGUUCCAGCCAGUCUCCUCGCUGAGAGAGGUGCGGCUAAGGGAGGAGACGGAGUUGAACUACAGAAAUGUAACCAAACAAGUGCUCCGCUGUUCCUGUCUACCAUGGAACACAUUUGUUGCCGGUGAUGUGAUCAGCACUGCCAAGCGUGACUCCAUCCACUUCCUGCCCCGUAGCUAUGUAUCCACGAAGCUAUGUAUCCAUGUCUGCACUCUGCCACCGGUCCAUUCAUUCUACAAAUAUGUAUGGUGCAGCCACCCACGGGGCACCCACCGUCCUGCGCAUGUCUCUUCUGCUGUUGCAGGCUGCUACCCAGGCUGCAGAGAGCAAGAUGAGGCAGUGGAUGUGCGUGGGUCGUAGAUCUGUGUGGGUCCAAGUCUUGACUCCCAUUCCUGUUUGACUUAGAUUCUUCAUUCAUAAAAGGGAGAUAACCACACCAACCUCCCAGCAGCGUUAAAAGGCUAAUGUGAAAAACCACCCAGUGUUGGAACAGGUAAACACUCGGUGUGCAUAGCUAUCGUCACUGGUGAUGAUUCCAUCUUUCCAUGUGGGGAGGCCAGCGUCUGGGUUCCGCUGUGUGUUCACCUCUCCUUGCCGUGACGCAGCCUGUCCUGGUGCUGUGUCGCACUUGGUUUAGCUCUGCCUCUCUAGCUGCUCCCCUGGUCGUUCUGCCGUUGCAUCCAGUUGCUCAGAUGCGUGCACACCCACUGCUAGUACUUCCUUUCAUCUAAUUCAUUCCAGCGCCACGGUCGCUUUGCUUCUCCUCUCUGAGUCCCUGCAGCAUCCCCGAGACUUCCUCUUCCACACACUGCUCUUUCUGGCUUUGUUUCACGUCCCAGCCCCGGCUCAGUUACUGCUGCAGCUUUCUCCCAUGCGUAGGUGGUGCUUGUAGAGUUCGGCGGUUUCUAAAUCGUUACCUAAUCUGUAAUCCUCCUGGGGGCCCCAGGGAGAGAAGGGAGGACACCCCCAGAGAGCACGGGGCAGUAGGGCCUGAGCACCGCGCCCACUUUGAGCAGGAAGGCCACUGGAAGAAGGAAAUGCCCAAACCUGCAGAGGAAAUUGCAGAAGGAAGAGGAAGAAGGAAAGGUGUUGGACUUGCCGGCAGCGGCUGAGAGUGACUCAGACUGAAUGGCCCUCAGGGAACUCCCCAGGGGAGAGGGAUCCACGCCUGUCUCCCACCAGGAGCACCCGCACUGCUAUGGGUGGCAGGCAAACAGAUUUCUUGAUUGAUGCCAGAGCUACUUUCUGAGCUGUAAAGACUAGACUGAGUAAACUGACCAGAAACCGAGUCUGACCACGACUGGCGUUUUGGGAAAGCCAUUGCCAAGCCUCCCCUGCAGCCCCUAGACUGUCAACAGGAGCUACCAGCCUACAGCCCAUCUCUCUGCUGGGAUGCGACGUGUUAGCCAACUCGAAUGCCCACGUGACUCUUUCUGCAGAGCGGCUGGCCCUGGCAGGCCGGCGCUCUGCAAGCUGCUCUUCUGCGUCAGCACCCUGAAGCCAUCUUGUGGGUGAGUCCAGGAGCACGGCUGAGGAGAAGCCAGGCAGAGCAAGAGCUGCUGUAGCUGUGAAGGCGAAGGUGAAGCUGGGGCAGAGGUCCCCGGGGAAAGCAGCCCCCUUCUGGGCACAGGCAAGAAGGGGCUGCAACCCCUGGCUAUGGCCUUCCUGGAACAUGGCUGCAUCUCCCAUAACACUCCUGUCCUUCCUGUUGAGAUGCAUGGCACAGACAAGCACCAUUUCCCUGAAGAUUUGAGGGCUGAAAGUCUAAUAACUGGGACGUACACCCCACAGUUCCAAAUCCCUACAUGCUACCUGUGUUGGCAUUAGAGGAUGGAUUUCAUUGUGUCUUUUGGACUGUGAGUCACAGAGAUAUUUGCCUUUGCAUGGGAAGACCCAGACACGAGGAGGAAAUAGCAAAAUUGAUGGACUGUUGGGCUCCAGGGUUUCAGAACACACACCCUCUCGCCCCACCCCAGCUCCUUUGUCCAGGGAGGUAGUUGCCAAGGACUUAGAAGAACUCCAACCUCAGGAGGGCGUAGCCCUCAGCCAUAACCCAUACCUUCUGCCUUGGAAGAGGUAAGAGGGUAAAUACCUACACCAACUCUCAGUAUGCUUUUUUCCAUAUUGCGUGCCCAUGGGGCUGUUUGGAAGGAAAGAGGAUUGUUGACUUGAGGAAAGAAAGAAAUGCAAGAUGCUAAAGAGGCCCUGGGGAGCCAAGCACGGUGGCAGUCAUGCACUGUGCCAGGCGUGGGAAUUGGAUGCCACAGGAAGUAACAGGUCCAGCCAGGCAGCAAAGGGACUGCAAAAGCCAAGAGCCCUUUGGUGACCACUUUCAUUCCAGCUGUAGAUCCCAUGCAGCCCAAGCCCUUUCAUUCCCCGAGGGACCUCACACAAUCUCAGGAAUGGGAUUUUGAUCCAACAGAUCCAAGACCUGGUACCUGAUUGGUAAAUGAUUGAGGAGUGAUUUUCGUGCCUUAAAAAAAUUUUUUUAAAGAUUUUUAUUAUUUAUUUGAGAGGUAGAGUUACAGACAGAGAGAGGGAGAGACAGAAAGAAAGGUCUUCCGUAUGCUGGUUUGCUCAUCAAAUGGCUGCAAUAGCCGGAGCCAAGCUGAUCCAAUGCCAGGAAACAGGAGCUUCUUCCAGGUCUCCCACAUGGGGCAGGGGCCCAAGCACUUGGGAGAUCUUCCGCUGCCUUCCCAGGCCAUAAGCAGAGAGCUGGAUUGGAAGAGGAGCAGCCAGGACAGGGGAUGCCAACACUGCAGGUGGAGGCUUAGCCCACUACACCACAGUGCCGGCCCCUUGGGGCCUGAACAUUUGAUGAAUUAAUUAAGCCCACUAACCAAAGCACCCACCAUAGAUGGGAUGUCCCCUCCAAUGGAUUAUGGAACCUGUCGUCAGCUCAGAUAUGCAGAGAACCAUACAGGGAGUCACUCACAAGCGCAUGACCUGUGCUCAGAACAGCCCAGAGUUCCUGCGCAGCUGGGAGUGCAGGCUGGUGGACAGAGUCCAGAGAGGCAGCAGACAUUAUCCUAAUGCCCAGGCAGCAGGAAAGGUCAAGGCUCUGCCAGUGAUGGCAGGCACUGCCACUGCAGGCGGAGGCUCGGCCUCCUGCCACUCAGGAAAGCCAUCGGAAGUGGUUGACGUCUUGUUACAGGGAAAACUCCCCAGGUUUGGCUUGCCUCGCUCAGUUCAGAGCAAUAAUGGAAGUGCCUUCUUCGCUAGCAUUUUGCAAAGGGAAUCUAGACAUCUGGGAAGUUACUGGAACCUGUGUGCCUCCUGGAGACCUCAGACAACAAGGAAGACUGAAAGAAGGACACAGCUAAAAUAUGCCAAGAAACCACCUCGACUCAGAUGAGGUUCUGAGGGUUGCACCGCGUGGAAUCGGAGUAGCCCCCUGGGUGGACGGUGGGAGACCCUUCCUCUAUUCCCAGCACCCCGAUAAACAAUCUGACUUAAAGCUGAAAGCACUGGGCAUUGUUGGGUGUGUCCAGUCCCUGGGACUGAGCCUUAAUCUUGAUUGCUCAUUCACCUGCACCCGUGUGCUUUCCCUGCAGAUGUUCCCUGCCUCGCUGGGUCCUCCUCAACACUUGGAAAGGGACCCGGGCCGAGGACCGGCUCCAGCCCUGGCGGAGUGCCCCCUGCUGCGUGAGGCCAGCGCCAGACCCCACCUCAGACUCAUUACCUCCAGCCUGCCUGAUGGGAACAAGAGGAGCCACCCAUCAACCAAUCCUGCUCUGAGCCUGGGCCCAGACCCAGGUGAAUGCUGAAGAAGAAGGAGAAAUGUGACAAAUACAGGGCUUAAAGUGAUCGCAGGCGGAGGUUCUGUGGAGCUGUCCUAAUGCUCAUGCCCUCACUUUUAGUAGCGGGAGAAGUGGGUGUCUUCCUAGACUGGGCCCAGCGGUAUGCAGAUGGCUUGCAAAGAGACUCGGGCUGAAGCUGUGGGUUAGUGCACCAUCCAGCACCUCAGGCCGACCCUGGUGGGCGUCCCCCUGCAAGGCGGAGCCUGAAUGGGCCUGCAGUGAGGUCUUCAGAAUGACAGCCCUGCCUUGGAGGAUGUGUCCCCGGAUGAUGUCACUCUAUGGCCCAGUGACCAUACUUGCAGUUGUCCAGGACAACAUGGGCUUCUCUGUAGCCCAGACAUAUGCCAGGGCCCUGCCAGUGGCUGAACCCCACUGUAGGACAUUCAAGCUGGUAGGCACCCCUAUUUUGGGAAAAGAGAAACCACUCUUACGACAGCUGACCAAAUAGCACCCGAGAUCCAGGGUGGCUCCCUGCACGGCGCUGUCAACAGGUUACGGUCCUGCAGGCCCAGGCCUGGUUUGCAUGGGCCAGCUCCAGGUGGGACCCAGGGGCUACGUGGGUUAUGUGGCUGUGUGGCCUGGGCUCCACUAGGGUGGACAAGGAGCUGUACUUUAGGCCUCCCUUGGGUUCGAGGAAGGUGGGUGCAAAGUACACAGAAGCCUGCCCGUCUCCCAGAGGUGCUUCCUGGAAGGAACACUCUGCUUUCCACGUGCAGUCCUUGCCCACAGUUAGAGCUGGGGAGUGUGAUCUGGCACACAGAAGCCCUGCCCAGUUAUGCUCAACAGGCCUUAGGUGCCAGUGCCACAGAGCUGUCUCUGCUCAUUACUGAAGCAUUCCUUCCCAGAAAAGUAGUUCUUCCAAACCACAUGCCCUCUGGUGUCCUCACAGCUGCCCAAGGGGGACCUUGCUUUCAUCAGAACAGAACGCUGUGGCUACACCCCGAUGAUUCCUGAUGUACCUCUGUAGCUCGAGACAUGCACACACAAUCAGCGUGAUGUCGUAUCCCACACCAAGCCUUAAUCAGUAGCUCCGUGCCUGGUUUGGGAUUGGAAGUUCCUGGUGGCAGAAGCUGCUAAUCUUCAUGGCUUUCACUGUAGGUGUGGGAACACUAACAUGUUUUUGUGUUUACUGUUGAUGUGUAGUUGACGUGGGCCUGCUAUCUUAAUUUCUUAAUUUCUAUGGGAGGUUCUUGCCUCCCACAGAGAUAAGAAUUCUUAUCUGUACAGUAGGAACAGGACUUAGUCAAGGUGAGAGAAAAAACUUACAUCCAUGUGUGAGUGUGGGCCACCCCCCAUGGAGAAAUACCCACUAGGAGUGGGUCAGAGGGUUUCUCAAAGAGAUAGGAAAGAGAAUGGCACCCCCAGCUGUGGGAAAAGAGGGCUCUCUCCUGUUCUCAGCCUCGUUUAUGAGGUAGUUGGUGGGGUCUUAGCAUGCAUGGAGCCAUCUCGGAAUUUUUUGUCACCUCCGCAUGGAUUUAAUAUCCACGUCACCAUCAUGGUAUCUCCUCCUUCCUGGUCUCUGAUGAGACACAGGGUAAUCCUAGGAAUAUGGGUGCUUUGAUUGACAGGUAAAGCAAUAACAUUAAUGGUAGAACUUGGAAGAAUUCCAGCUCACUUAGGCUUGCCUAGCUGCCCGCCUAUUACAUCAUAUCAUAAAGAUGAUGCAUCUGCCAAGGUAAAGCUAUGCAGGGACUUGAGUGGUCAACUUUAUCAUGAUUCAGAAAACUUCUCCAGCUAAACCAGAGGCUAGGAAUUUUAUUUUUUUAGGAGACUUGUUUUAUUUAUUUGAAAGGCAGAGAGAGAGAGAGAGAAGGAGAGAGAGAGAGAUCUUCCAUCCACUGGUUCACGCCUAAAUGACUACAUUGGCCAAGGAUAGACCAGGCAGAAGCCAGGAGCAUGGAACAAGGAACUCCAUCCAAGUUUCUCAUAUGUGUGAAGGUGGGCCCAAAUACUUGGGUCAUUUUUCUGCUACCUCACCGGGUACACUAGCAGGCAGCUGGAUUGGAAGUGGAGCACCUGGGACUUGAACUGGUGCUCUGAUAUAGGAUGCCAGCGUAACCUGCUGCACCAUAACAUUGGCCCCAAGCAUUUUUUUUUAAAGAUUUAUUUAUUUAUUUGAAAGAGUUACACAGAGAGAGGAGGAGAGGCAGAGAGAGAGAGAUGGAGAGGGAGAGGAAGAGAGAGAGGGAGAGAGAGAGAGAGGUCUUCCAUCCACUGGUUCACUCCCCAAUUGGCCGCAAUGGCUGGAGCUGAGCUGAUCCGAAGCCAGGAGCCAAGUGCUAAUUCUUGGUAUCCCAUGCAGGUGCAAGGGUCCAAGAAUUUGGGCCAUCUUGUACUGCUUUCCCAGGCCACAGCAGAGAGCUGGAUAGGAAGUGGGGCAGCCAGGACUAGAACCGGUGCCCAUAUGGGAUGCCGGCACUGCAGGUGGUGACUUAACCUGCUAUGCCACAGCGCCGGCCCCCUCAAGUAUUUUCUACAACUUCCUGAAACACCCUCACGUUGCCCUCCAACGGCAUGAAUUCAUGAGAACAAUCAUCGUCCCUACUCCCUGAGGAUGGAUGACUAAGUAGAAGGGCGGCAUUGAAACCGAGCCCCUAUACGAUUCAAAUCCAUCUACGAAAACAUCACAGCCAGGAGGAGGCUAAGGAAACGUGACCAUCGACCACAGUGUGGUGUCCUGGACAGACAGACAAAGGACACUAGGUAAAUACCAAGGGAUCAUGAAUAAACUAUGGACUUGCAUGAAUAAUCAUGGAUCAACAGUGGUUCAUCAGUUUAGCAAACGUGCUGGUGUGAGAUGCUACCAAGAGGGGGCGCUGUGCAGGAGUGGGCAUUUGAAACAUCUUAAGUGCUCAGUAUUUCAGUUCAUCUGAUCUGCCCCCCAGAAAUAAAUCAUAUUAAUGAAAAAUGGGCUCCCCUUUAUUUGAACUCCUCUGAUGUCUUCCUGGGGAUGUUGCAGAACAACCUCCUUUCCUCCCCAAACGAGUUGGAGGAGUUGCUACAGAGCCCCAAAGUGGGUUUGCUUGUCAGACAGCAAGAAAGCCAGUCUCUGACCAUGACAUGGUGGAAGACAAGAAUUUACCUGGAAAGCAUAGCCAAAUUUCCAUUCUCUCUUUCUGUCACUUUGCCUUUAAAUCAAUAAAAUAAGUAUUUUUUUAAUAGCAUUUCUUUUUUCCUGCUACAUCCCCCAUCCUCUUUGGGGGAACACCUAGAUCCCUGUUUCCCCAUCCUCAGAAAUAGUCCUCUGUUGUCCACCAUUUUGCUUCUCUCUCAGUCUGGCUUUCAAAGAUGAAAGAGAACAAUGUCUUCUGCUGAAAGGCCAGAAUCCUUGCCAGGCCGCUGAUGCCAGCACGAUGUGCCGUGUUCGAGGUCCCCCACGUCCUCGUGCAGCAGCCAGUGUCUUGACUCUUGCCACACCCACUAACUGCACCGCAGCUGAGCUGCUGGUGCCACUUGGGAUCUGAGAUUCCCUGCGAGUCGUGUGAAGUAAUUCUUUGGUUUCCUUGCUCAUUACUGCAAGUCUUUCUACUUGGGGCCCAGACGGCAACCUAGGGCAGUCCGAGAGCAGAUACUGUAUCACUCAGCUCAGAGUCAUUCCUCUGCUCUCCUUGACUCCACGAACCCUGGGAACUCUGGCUUUUGCAAGUUUGACUGUGAGAGGCUGCAAAAUGUUCUUGGAAAAUCUAAUCAACAUAUAGGUUUCUUCUGAUGAAGAUCGAAUCUAUGCACAUUGAGGGGUCUUUGAAAGUUCAGGGAAAUGUGUAUUAUGAAAAGACUAUGCGUGGAUUUCAAAAUUAUUGUGUCCCCAAAUAAACUUAUCUUUUAAUUCAUCUCAGGGUUAGGCCCUGCCAUGAACCAAGAAGUUUCUUGACAACUUAAGCAAUGAGACUGACAUGUCUCCCGCAAGGGGAGCAGCGCAGCUCACAUCCCACCGAAGUGCUCCUGUUGGUGUUUGGAGUCUUCCGUGACUUCUUGCUCAGCAGGGCUUCCAUGGCACUCUCACGCCCUGUUCCUUUUCUGUCUCCAGGCUCAGCCCUGCGACUCCUCCUCAGACCCCCAGCCCAGCCCGUGGGAUGACCUUGCACACAAACAUCUUGUGACUCCUCAGGCAUCUCCUGCCUCUGGGCUUUCCCCAGGAUGUCCACGUUGGCUGACCGCCCUCCUCUGACCACCGCCCCAAAGCAUCAUAGCAUCUUCCUGCAUUUCCACCACUGCCUCACCCCACUGCGUCAGCUGCCUGUUGAUGUUUAAUAAAUCAUUCCUGAACUUGGUGGCUGAAAACAGCAAACACUCAUUGUAUCGCAGGUUCUGUGAAUCAGGAAUGCAGGCACAACUUGACCGGGUCUUCUUAGCCAGCGUCCCCUGGAGGACUACAGUACAAGGUGGUGGCUGGAGAGUGGUCUCAUCUGAAGGUUCAGCUGGGGCAGGAGCCACUUCACAGUCCACUGACAGUGCUGUGGGCAGGAUUCAGCUCCACACUGGCUGGUGACUGAGGAUUGGGUGCCUGGCUGGCUACUGACCACAGACCUCCCUCAUGUCCUUGUGAUGGGGUCUUCUUCAUAGGCUGCCUCACUACCUGUUAACUGGUUUCUCUUAGAAUAAGCAAGAGAUCAAUUUGGGUUGAGCAACAAAGAAACUAGAGUCUUUUUGUGAUCAAGUUUCAGAAAAGACAUUCCAUCACUUUUGCCAUAUUCUCUUUAUCAGAAGCAAGUUGUGAGGCUCAGCCCACAUUCAUGUGAGGGAUUGUACAGGACGUGGACCCCAGGAGGAGGAAGCAUGGUGGGGGGGGUUGUGGUCACCCUGCAGAAGUCAACAAACACUCAUCCUCACUGGUCUGGAUGUCAAGAGAGAUGAUGCCACGUACACGUACACACACGUACACUCACACACGCACACACACACACACUCGCACAUCCCCAGAAUGGUAUGAAAAGAUUUAUUACUCACAGAAUGAGACUUUCUGGGAAAAACAUAGCAGGCACAAAAGCCAGCCUGGAAUGUCGAGUGAAAAGAGAAGCCAGUGGCUUUGGUUUUUAUUGUGGUGAAGGGGUGGGGCUAUGGUGAGGGUUCCCACGGGAAUGGGGUUUGAAUGCCUUCAGAGUCUCCCUCUGCACCAAGGGAGGGAGCCCUGCAGUGCUGUUCCUCCCCAUCCCGACUUUUGGGGGGCAAACAGGGAAGAGGGAGGGAGGGCAUGAAGGUUAUCAGGGGUCAAACAGCAAAAGUGAAGCUGGAGUCAGACUCCUUGUUACUGGCGGUUGUUUUAGAGGUGGAUACUGUAUUCAUUGUCCUUUAAUCAUUUAUCGACUUGUCUGUCUUUUACAGGAUAAAGAAUAUCAUUGUUUUGUUUUUAUGUUCUCAACACCCAGUGCAGUGGCUGACAUAUCAUGGUCCCUCAAAAAAUGUCUGUUGAAUGAAUAACAGAGUGGCUGGAUGGACUGUC